rnacentral:piRNA from 1 species
UGACAUGCGCCAAGCAGAGCCCAGCUGA